rnacentral:rRNA from 1 species
AGAGGUCCCGCCUGCCCUGUGACGAAAGUUUAACGGCCGCGGUACUUUGACCGUGCGAAGGUAGCGUAAUCACUUGUCUUUUAAAUGAAGACCUGUAUGAAUGGCAUAACGAGGGCUGAGCUGUCUCCUUUUUCUAGUCAAUGAAAUUGAUCUGCCCGUGCAGAAGCGGGCAUACUAACAUAAGACGAGAAGACCCUAUGGAGCUUUAGACACCGGGACAGACCACGUUAAGGUGCCUAUAUUAACAGGACGAAACAAAACGGCCCCUGCCCCCGUCUUUGGUUGGGGCGACCACGGGGAAAACAAAACCCCCGAGUGGAAUGGGACACAACCCUCUAGGCGAGGCCUACAGGCCCAACCUUCAGAAUAUCUGACCAGCAAGAUCCGGCAAAGCCGAUCAACGGACCCAGUUACCCUAGGGAUAACAGCGCAAUCCCCUUUUAGAGCCCACAUCGACAAGGGGGUUUACGACCUCGAUGUUGGAUCAGGACCUCCUAAUGGUGCAGCCGCUAUUAAGGGUUCGUUUGUUCAACGAUUAAAGUCCUACGUGAUCUGAGUUC